AGCGUACACGGUGGAUGCCUAGGCAGUCAGAGGCGAUGAAGGGCGUGCUAAUCUGCGAAAAGCGUCGGUAAGGUGAUAUGAACCGUUAUAACCGGCGAUACCCGAAUGGGGAAACCCAGUGUGUUUCGACACACUAUCAUGUCAUGAAUACAUAGUGGCAUGAGGCGAACCGGGGGAACUGAAACAUCUAAGUACCCCGAGGAAAAGAAAUCAACCGAGAUUCCCCCAGUAGCGGCGAGCGAACGGGGAGGAGCCCAGAACCUGAAUCGGCUUGUGUGUUAGUGGAAGCGUCUGGAAAGUCGCGCAGCAAAGGGUGAUAGCCCCGUACACUAAAAUGCACAGGUCGUGAGUUCGAUGAGUAGGGCGGGACACGUGACAUCCUGUCUGAAUAUGGGGGGACCAUCCUCCAAGGCUAAAUACUCCUGACUGACCGAUAGUGAACCAGUACCGUGAGGGAAAGGCGAAAAGAACCCCGGCGAGGGGAGUGAAAUAGAACCUGAAACCGUGUACGUACAAGCAGUGGGAGCACCUUCGUGGUGUGACUGCGUACCUUUUGUAUAAUGGGUCAGCGACUUAUAUUUUGUAGCAAGGUUAACCGUAUAGGGGAGCCGUAGGGAAACCGAGUCUUAACUGGGCGAUUAGUUGCAAGGUAUAGACCCGAAACCCGGUGAUCUAGCCAUGGGCAGGUUGAAGGUUGGGUAACACUAACUGGAGGACCGAACCGACUAAUGUUGAAAAAUUAGCGGAUGACUUGUGGCUGGGGGUGAAAGGCCAAUCAAACCGGGAGAUAGCUGGUUCUCCCCGAAAGCUAUUUAGGUAGCGCCUCGUGAACUCAUCUUCGGGGGUAGAGCACUGUUUCGGCUAGGGGGCCAUCCCGGCUUACCAAACCGAUGCAAACUCCGAAUACCGAAGAAUGUUAUCACGGGAGACACACGGCGGGUGCUAACGUCCGUCGUGAAGAGGGAAACAACCCAGACCGCCAGCUAAGGUCCCAAAGUCAUGGUUAAGUGGGAAACGAUGUGGGAAGGCACAGACAGCCAGGAUGUUGGCUUAGAAGCAGCCAUCAUUUAAAGAAAGCGUAAUAGCUCACUGGUCGAGUCGGCCUGCGCGGAAGAUGUAACGGGGCUAAACCAUGCACCGAAGCUGCGGCAGCGACGCUUAGGCGUUGUUGGGUAGGGGAGCGUUCUGUAAGCCGUUGAAGGUGGCCUGUGAGGGUUGCUGGAGGUAUCAGAAGUGCGAAUGCUGACAUAAGUAACGAUAAAGCGGGUGAAAAGCCCGCUCGCCGGAAGACCAAGGGUUCCUGUCCAACGUUAAUCGGGGCAGGGUGAGUCGACCCCUAAGGCGAGGCUGAAAAGCGUAGUCGAUGGGAAACAGGUUAAUAUUCCUGUACUUGGUGUUACUGCGAAGGGGGGACGGAGAAGGCUAGGCUGGCCGGGCGACGGUUGUCCCGGUUUAAGCGUGUAGGGGGUGUGACCUGGUAAAUCCGGUUGCAUAUCAACCCUGAGGCGUGAUGACGAUGCACUACGGUGCAGAAGUAGUUGAUGCCCUGCUUCCAGGAAAAUCCUCUAAGCUCCAGGUAACAUUAAAUCGUACCCCAAACCGACACAGGUGGUCAGGUAGAGAAUACCAAGGCGCUUGAGAGAACUCGGGUGAAGGAACUAGGCAAAAUGGUGCCGUAACUUCGGGAGAAGGCACGCUGGCAUGUAGGUGAAGUCCCUCGCGGAUGGAGCUGAAGCCAGUCGAAGAUACCAGCUGGCUGCAACUGUUUAAUAAAAACACAGCACUGUGCAAACACGAAAGUGGACGUAUACGGUGUGACGCCUGCCCGGUGCUGGAAGGUUAAUUGAUGGGGUCAGCCGCAAGGCGAAGCUCUUGAUCGAAGCCCCAGUAAACGGCGGCCGUAACUAUAACGGUCCUAAGGUAGCGAAAUUCCUUGUCGGGUAAGUUCCGACCUGCACGAAUGGCGUAAUGAUGGCCAGGCUGUCUCCACCCGAGACUCAGUGAAAUUGAACUCGCUGUGAAGAUGCAGUGUACCCGCGGCAAGACGGAAAGACCCCGUGAACCUUUACUAUAGCUUGACACUGAACAUUGAGCCUUGAUGUGUAGGAUAGGUGGGAGGCUUUGAAGCGUGGACGCCAGUCUGCGUGGAGCCAUCCUUGAAAUACCACCCUUUAAUGUUUGAUGUUCUAACUCUGCCCCAUAAUCUGGGGUGAGGACAGUGUCUGGUGGGUAGUUUGACUGGGGCGGUCUCCUCCCAAAGAGUAACGGAGGAGCACGAAGGUUAGCUAAUCACGGUCGGACAUCGUGAGGUUAGUGCAAAGGCAUAAGCUAGCUUGACUGCGAGAGUGACGGCUCGAGCAGGUACGAAAGUAGGUCUUAGUGAUCCGGUGGUUCUGAAUGGAAGGGCCAUCGCUCAACGGAUAAAAGGUACUCCGGGGAUAACAGGCUGAUACCGCCCAAGAGUUCAUAUCGACGGCGGUGUUUGGCACCUCGAUGUCGGCUCAUCACAUCCUGGGGCUGAAGUAGGUCCCAAGGGUAUGGCUGUUCGCCAUUUAAAGUGGUACGCGAGCUGGGUUUAGAACGUCGUGAGACAGUUCGGUCCCUAUCUGCCGUGGGCGUUGGAAGAUUGAGAGGGGUUGCUCCUAGUACGAGAGGACCGGAGUGAACGCACCACUGGUGUUCGGGUUGUCAUGCCAAUGGCAUUGCCCGGUAGCUAAGUGCGGAAAAGAUAAGCGCUGAAAGCAUCUAAGCGCGAAACUUGCCUCAAGAUGAGUCU
rnacentral:rRNA from 1 species